rnacentral:rRNA from 1 species
UACGGGGGGGGCAAGCGUUGUUCGGAAUUACUGGGCGUAAAGGGCUCGUAGGCGGCCAACUAAGUCAGACGUGAAAUCCCCAGGCUUAACCUGGGAACUGCGUCUGAUACUGGAUGGCUUGGAUUCGGGAGAGGAAUGCGGAAUUCCAGGUGUAGCGGUGAAAUGCGUAGAUAUCUGGAGGAACACCGGUGGCGAAGGCGGCAUUCUGGACCGACAUUGACGCUGAGGAGCGAAAGCCAGGGGAGCAAACGGG